ACGGGUGAGUAAUGUAUCGGAACGUGCCUAGUAGCGGGGGAUAACUACGCGAAAGCGUAGCUAAUACCGCAUACGCCCUACGGGGGAAAGCAGGGGAUCGCAAGACCUUGCACUAUUAGAGCGGCCGAUAUCGGAUUAGCUAGUUGGUGGGGUAAUGGCUCACCAAGGCGACGAUCCGUAGCUGGUUUGAGAGGACGACCAGCCACACUGGGACUGAGACACGGCCCAGACUCCUACGGGAGGCAGCAGUGGGGAAUUUUGGACAAUGGGGGAAACCCUGAUCCAGCCAUCCCGCGUGUGCGAUGAAGGCCUUCGGGUCGUAAAGCACUUUUGGCAGGAAAGAAACGUCAUGGGCUAAUACCCCGUGAAACUGACGGUACCUGCAGAAUAAGCACCGGCUAACUACGUGCCAGCAGCCGCGGUAAUACGUAGGGUGCAAGCGUUAAUCGGAAUUACUGGGCGUAAAGCGUGCGCAGGCGGUUCGGAAAGAAAGAUGUGAAAUCCCAGAGCUUAACUUUGGAACUGCAUUUUUAACUACCGGGCUAGAGUGUGUCAGAGGGAGGUGGAAUUCCGCGU
rnacentral:rRNA from 1 species